rnacentral:rRNA from 1 species
UGGGGAAUAUUGGACAAUGGGGGCAACCCUGAUCCAGCAAUGCCGCGUGUGUGAAGAAGGCCUUCGGGUUGUAAAGCACUUUUAUCGGGAACGAAACGUGUCAGGUGAAUACCCUGGCAAACUGACGGUACCCGAGGAAUAAGCACCGGCUAACUUCGUGCCAGCAGCCGCGGUAAUACGAAGGGUGCAAGCGUUACUCGGAAUUACUGGGCGUAAAGGGUGCGUAGGUGGUUUUUUAAGUCCGUUGUGAAAUCCCUGGGCUCAACCUGGGAAUGGCAGUGGAUACUGGAAAGCUAGAGUGCGGUAGAGGGUAGUGGAAUUCCCGGUGUAGCAGUGAAAUGCGUAGAGAUCGGGAGGAACACCAGUGGCGAAGGCGGCUACCUGGACCAGCACUGACACUGAAGCACGAAAGCGUGGGGAGCAAACAG